rnacentral:rRNA from 1 species
GGGUAACUAGGGGCGAGGAGGCGCGUUAAUACGGAGGGGGCUAGCGUUAUCCGGAGUUACUGGGCGUAAAGGGUGCGUAGGUGGGUUCUGAAGGCAGAGGUGAAAGGCUACGGCUCAACCGUAGUAAGCCUUUGAAACUGGGAAACUUGAGUGCAGGAGAGGAGAGUGGAAUUCCUAGUGUAGCGGUGAAAUGCGUAGAUAUUAGGAGGAACACCAGUUGCGAAGGCGGCUCUCUGGACUGUAACUGACACUGAGGCACGAAAGCGUGGGGAGCAAACAGGAUUAGAUACCCCAGUAGUC